AGAAGUAUUAAUAGCAAGACCUCCUCAGCAGCAAAGCCUCAUCAAGAAAGAAUGAGUUGUGCUCAGGUGUUCCCUUCAAAAGUGCUGGCUCGCUGCUGCUUCUGCACCUCACUUGAGUGGUGAGAAUCUUCUGUGAGACAAGCCUCAGUCCUGUCUGCCUGGACACUCACCACCCAGCUGUCUCCAUCAGAAAGUCUGGCCCAGGCCCUUUCCUGGGAACCAGAGACCCCUCUGCUCUUCUCCUCCAGACCCUGUGGAAUAGUGGGGAAGAGGGGAAGGUGGAACAUGAACUCUCUUCCUGCUCCUCCAGGAUGCCAAGCCAGCUUCCGCUGCUUUUACUAACCUCACACUCCAUCCCCUUCCUCUCCUUUAUAAGCCCCUGGGGCCCUUCAAGAAACAAAACAAAACAUUUUUUAAAAUGUGCAGGUCCAUUUUACUUCCACCCUGCCAUGUCGCUUCCCUGAAGUAACAUGCAUAAGCUUCCAUCAGCUUGUUGGGGAGGAAGUUUCAUCUGCUUGUGGAAAAGACAAGACAAACAAGGGAUACAAUUUAAUAUUUUAAAGACAUACUAUUUAAGGAAAUAAAGACACUGAUUUACAAAGCCCACUAUUUUGGUAUAAAUUUGUCAACCUAAAAUAAUCAAAGGACAAGAAUCCCAUUUUGAAGAGUUUAUACCAGUGAAACGCUAGGAAUGGCUUUUUAUCCUGUUAAGUGUAAGAGUGGAAGAAAUAGUGCACUGAAUUGAGUUCAUCGUCGCAGUUUGCCAUUGGAAAUCACCUCUCAUUUUUCUCUACCUUUAUUUUCCACCAUUUUUUUACCUCACUUGAAUUUUCUAAUUUUUCCGCAUAGGUUUUUACUCUCAUGUGCUUGAUGUAUGUCCUUGGAGAUGUCUUUGAAAAUUACAUAAUGCUGUGCUUUCUUUUAUUUUUGAGACAGGGUCAUCUCACUUUGUCACCCAGGCUGGAAUGCAGUGGCACAAUCUCAGUUCACUGCAGCCUCAACUUCUCAGGCUCAAGUGGUCCUUUCACCUCAGCCCCCAAAAAGUAGCUGGGACUACGGGCAGGCGCAACCACGCCUGGCUAAUUUUUCUAUUUUUGGUAGAGAUGGGGUUUCACCAUGCUGCCGAGGCUCAUAUUAUACUCCUGGACUCAAGUGGUACACCCUCCUAGGCCUCCCGAAGUGCUGAGAUUACAAGUGUGAGCUGCUGCACCCAGCCAUGAAUGUCACCCAGGCACUACAUCCAGGAGUCUCAGGUGCCACUGGGUUCCCAUCCUCAGCGUGGCAGAGCUGGGAGAAGGCACGCAGCAUUCAAAUUUCCUUCAAGUCACUUGCUUAAGAGGAGAUGACAUUUGAGCAAGAUCUUAAAGAAAAUCAGAUGCCUUCACCUGACCACUGCUUGGUGAUCCCAUGGCACUUUGUACAUCUCUCCAUUAGCUCUCAUCUCACCAGCCCAUAAUUAUUGUAUGUGCUGCCUUCUGAAGCUUGCAGCUGGCUACAUCAGGUAGAAUAAAAUCAUCCUUUCAUAAAA